AUGUCUCCAAAAAUCCAUCGCCGCCUUAUGUGCUUGAAGUAGUAGUGAUUGAAGUGUUGUAAUAGUAUCCAGCGUCCCAGUUGGCGAUGACAUAGUUGUGUCUAGCUCAAGCUUCAAUCUCUCAAUCUCUUUCUUGCUAUUCAGAAACUGAAUUUUACUCCACAUAUCUAGAGCAGCUUAACAUGUUGAUAAUUGGUAUGCGAUGGAUGAGAGGGGACAAGAGUUACAGGUCUCAUCUAUAGGCAUUGAGCAUAUCAGAAGAUCUAGCUGGCUUUUUUUCUCCUCGUGUUAAAAAUAGACAGGAUCGGCCGAUGAUCUGAUGCGUCGAAUUGCAGGUAGUGACAUCGGCUAUGAGGGCAAUCAUCACACCAUUGGCCUUGAGUCGCUUUGCCUUUUUCCACCGCUGUGAAUCUUCUUGGCAUAUUGAGAAGGGAUAUAAAGAUAGGAAAGACUAGCAGUACUGUUUCUCCUCUCUAUUUGGUAUGGGUUUAAACUUCGAAUUGGUUGGUUCUUUUGUGGUUUCUCUUCCCUCACCUUUGUUUGCUUGAUCUUCUUUAUAAUUUACACGAGAAAUUUUAAAUGCAUAUUCUGGUUUUUUUUUUGUUUUUCUUAGUUAUGCUUGCUUGUUUCUUCAUAUAUGUAUAAUCCUUUCCUUUUCUUUGUAGAAUAAUUAUGAGCAAGGUUUCUAUAUUUUAGAUUCGACAAAUGAUUCAGAUCUUUGAAUGAUUUGCAUGAAGAAUCAGAUCUGUGAAACGUGUUGUGCCUCAAUCUUCUGCGGUGUUAAUUUGCACCAGUGGUUAAGCAAAAUCCAGUCUUUAUAGCUGAAAUUACAAAGACUGAAAUAGAC
rnacentral:lncRNA from 1 species